rnacentral:tRNA from 2 species
GCCCGGUUAGCUCAAUCGGUAGAGCGUGAGACUCUUAAAAAGGAAAUCUCAAGGUUGCGGGUUCGACCCCCGCAUCGGGCU